CGAUCACCCAUACUUUGUUUUUUAACACUAUCGUGAGGUCAGGAGUAUUGUGCUCCAAAACUCUGUCAGUCUGAAUUAGGAAGUCCCAGAGUAGUUUGACGCAUUCAUUUUCUGUAACUUUUUCAGACUUGAGAUCCCACCAGUUCUUUGACACAGAUAGAUGGUAUUUGUGAUUCCAAUGAUCAUUUGAGCAAUGAUGAUGAUGAUGAUGAUGAUGAUGAUGAUGAUGAUGAUGAUGAUGAUGAUGAUGAUUAGGAGUAUGACUUUUCCAUUAUGCAAGGUAAGCAUGACCAUUUCUAAUUUUUUUCAUUCAACAAAUUCAGUUUUUUAAUAUAGUACUGGAUAUAGCUUUAAUUAAUUUAGAGCAAUUGCUAACUUUGCAAGCCCUUGCACAAGUAUUUAUUUUCCACUAAUGUUCAUUAGGUUUCCUGGAGUUGGAAGAGCAAGUGGUAUUUUUCAGCGGGGUGGGGAGAAACAAUUAAAAGAAAGAAAGAUAGUGAAAAUUAAUUCAAAGCUGAUAAUCCAAUAACACCACUUUUUUCUUAUCACAAUAGCUAUUAAAAUCUAGUUUAGGAUAUCAGCACUGUAAUUUUUAAUCACAGCCUACUUGGAUUAUGGAUGACUUCAUAUUUGGCAUGCACAGUGCAGCAUGGCUUAAUCCAGAGAGAGCUGAGGAAUGCAUAAAAGCUGACAUUGCUGCGUACAAAUUGGGAAAACACGACCUUUAAAUGAUGUUACAAGGAACUUUACCAAAAUGAAUAAUCAGUACCAAUCUUAAAGUUUCCUUACAUAGUAUAACUGGUUGUAUCGCUUGCAAAAACACCUUGUCCCAGUAAGUAUUAACACUUGUCAGACAUAACAGAGAUUCCCAGUCCUUGGUAGAAUAUGAUAUCUGCGAACACAAAAGUACAAGAGCAGGAGAGUGGAUCUCUCAGCUUAAACACAAAUGGAAAAUGCUGAAGGGAAUGGCAUAAGCCGUGAUUUUAUUAUGUGCCCACUUAUUUUUGUCGCACUCUCUAUUCAAUUGGGUUCUACAGGGCAUUGGCUUCCUGUUAGUAACAUAGAUAGAUCUAUAGUUGUGGAAGAAGGAAUUCACUACUUCUCUGGUGGAACAACACCUAAUCACUCUCAAAUGCCUCUGUCUCAUUCUGUAACCCCUGGCCAGAUUCUAUUUACUCCUUUCCAUGGGUCUUAUGAGUAUGGCCAGAAUGUGGGGAUAUCCACUUUGAAACAUGAGUCUGAUAAAGCCCAUAGGAUCCAGUUUUGAAAUGGUUAAAACAGAGAAUGUUACACGACAAGGCAAUAUUCAUAGAACAUUAAUUUUUACGACAGAAGUAAUUCACAAUGUGAUGUGUUAUUAACAUGUUACUCCUACUAUUAAUUUUUAUUUUUAAAAUAAAGGCUCACUAAGGAUAGCCAUCACCCUCAACACACACAAACAC
rnacentral:lncRNA from 1 species